rnacentral:rRNA from 1 species
GACGAACCGUGCGAACGUUGUUCGGAUUCACUGGGCUUAAAGGGCGCGUAGGCGGCGUGGCCAGUCGGGGGUGAAAGCCCACAGCUUAACUGUGGAAGUGCCUCCGAUACUGCCGCGCUCGAGGGAGGUAGGGGCAGAGGGAACUUCCGGUGGAGCGGUGGAAUGCGUUGAUAUCGGAAGGAACGCCGGUGGCGAAAGCGCUCUGCUGGACCUCUUCUGACGCUGAGGCGCGAAAGCCAGGGGAGCAAACGGG